CGUCCGUAAUCACUUGUGUUGUUCAAUCAUCAGAAAACAUCUCACAAUUUGACUGUUAACUACUAAAUUUGUUGUUUCAUCACUCAUUGGUCAUACCAGUCUCUUUAUUUUCUUUUUCUUUGAAGCUAAAUUGUUGUCCUGCAACCCAGAGGGUUUAUUUGUUAGUAAUGGAUAAACUUCAUCAUUUAACAACAGAAGUAUGUUAAUUUUUGCUGCUUUAACCUUGCUGGAAAAUCUUCACAUGUUCAUGAGUGUAAGCUGUUUUUUCAUUGCAUGUGUGUGCAUUUGUAGGCAGGUUAAUUUUAACUUUUUCUCAAACUAGGCAUUACCUUAACAGGAGCCUUUCUCUCACAUUUCUCUGCUCGUGUGUGUUUUUGUUUCACCUUUUGUUGUGAUGCUCCGGACGCCUUCCCAACCUCCACAAGUCCGUUGGCCCCAAAAUUCAACCCAAUUUCAUGUGCUCUUAAAACCUUCAUUUCUCCUCUAAUUCUCUCCUCGCUGCUGUCUGUUUCACAGCUGCUGAUUCUUGCUGGGUGUGGUUCCCAUUACUAUAAUUUUGCUUCGGCCGCUGUGCUUGUGGGGGCAGUUGGUCCAGGUCCGUAGCUUCCUGUAUUAACACACUAAGAGAUUUAUUUAAUAUCAUUUUCAUCAUUGUUAAACAGAUAAGCAGGCAACACGCCCACCUUGACAGCGAAAACUGCACGCCCGUCUCCCAACAUAUUCCUCUCUCUGCUUCUCAAUAAUUCUCCACUACACACCUCUUACUAUCUCUCUCUCCUUUUUUUAUUAUUUUUUUUUAUUACACCACAGAGUAAUACACCCAAUUAUGCCCGUCUAUCUCUAUGUGGCUCCAAAUUCCCUCUUUAUUCGUAAUUUCACGUUAUCAGGGGACAGGCACACAACAAUUUUAACCACUGAAACGUCACUAUAACGAGGACUCUAACCUCUUAUUUUAAGAAAUGAGGACUCUAACCUCGGUUUUCUUUUUUGACUACUAUAGAACUCAACCUUAGAUGUCAAAGCAUUUUCUUGUUCUAUUCCAGAAUAAAUGUG
ensembl:lncRNA